UACAGAGGUCUCAAGCGUUGUUCGGAUUCAUUGGGCGUAAAGGGCUCGUAGGCGGUUUGUCGCGUCGGGAGUGAAAAUCCAGGGCUUAACUCUGGACUGGCUUUCGAUACGGGCAGACUAGAGGUAUGCAGGGGAGAACGGAAUUCCUGGUGUAGCGGUGAAAUGCGCAGAUAUCAGGAGGAACACCGGUGGCGAAGGCGGUUCUCUGGGCAUUACCUGACGCUGAGGAGCGAAAGUGUGGGGAGCGAACAGG
rnacentral:rRNA from 1 species